rnacentral:rRNA from 1 species
UAGGGAAUCUUCGGCAAUGGACGAAAGUCUGACCGAGCAACGCCGCGUGAGUGAAGAAGGUUUUCGGAUCGUAAAACUCUGUUGUUAGAGAAGAACAAGGACGUUAGUAACUGAACGUCCCCUGACGGUAUCUAACCAGAAAGCCACGGCUAACUACGUGCCAGCAGCCGCGGUAAUACGUAGGUGGCAAGCGUUGUCCGGAUUUAUUGGGCGUAAAGCGAGCGCAGGCGGUUUCUUAAGUCUGAUGUGAAAGCCCCCGGCUCAACCGGGGAGGGUCAUUGGAAACUGGGAGACUUGAGUGCAGAAGAGGAGAGUGGAAUUCCAUGUGUAGCGGUGAAAUGCGUGGAUAUAUGGAAGAACACCAGUGGCGAAGGCGGCUCUCUGGUCUGUAACUGACGCUGAGGCUCGAAAGCGUGGGGAGCAAACAGG